GAUGAACGCUGGCGGCGUGCUUAACACAUGCAAGUCGAACGAUGAAGCCCAGCUUGCUGGGUGGAUUAGUGGCGAACGGGUGAGUAACACGUGAGUAACCUGCCCUUGACUCUGGGAUAAGCCCGGGAAACUGGGUCUAAUACCGGAUAGGAGCGCCUGUCGCAUGACGGGUGUUGGAAAGAUUUUUCGGUCAUGGAUGGACUCGCGGCCUAUCAGCUUGUUGGUGAGGUAAUGGCUCACCAAGGCGACGACGGGUAGCCGGCCUGAGAGGGGGACCGGCCACACUGGGACUGAGACACGGCCCAGACUGCUACGGGAGGCAGAAGUGGGGAAUAUUGCACAAUGGGCGGAAGCCUGAUGCAGCGAUGCCGCGUGAGGGAUGACGGCCUUCGGGUUGUAAACCUCUUUCAGUAGGGAAGAAGCGAAAGUGACGGUACCUGCAGAAGAAGCACCGGCUAACUACGUG
rnacentral:rRNA from 1 species